ACUACGGCAAGCGGGAUAUUCAAUGCAUUUCUUGCUUCAGCAUCCUCUGUAAAAUACAAAAAGGGACUUGUUUCAGUGCAGUUCUAAUAUUCAGUUAACUUUUUUCACUUCCAUGUACAGUGUUUAACAAAUCUAUUAGACCACCUGUCCUAAAAACUGUUAAAGACAAACAUUUUAGAACUCUGUCAGGAACUCAUUUUAAGAUUAUAUUCUUAUGAGCUUUUCUUUUGGAUGUUUUUAUGCCAAUGUUUUAAGCCUAUUAACCAUUACAGAAACAUAAAAAAGGAUUCUGGUAAUGCUGUGUCAUAAACCCUACAUUGGGUGAUCUAAUAUAUUUUUUAUGCACCGGAAGACCACUAUGGGUUUUCCUAGUCUGUUUUAGACCUGCAGAAAGGAAGUUAGCACUGCUUACACAUACCCUGUGGUCUCUCUAAAGACCUCAGCCUCUCAAAAAAUGUUCCUUGUCAUAAUUCUUCUUUGUGUCAAAGUCUGAAACCUGCAAGCUUUACAGAAAAUAAAUUUUACAUUAAACCAAUCUAACCACAGAAUGUCUAGAGUUGUACAAUACACAAAUAUAAAGGCAAUGCAAGUGAAGCCAGAUGUGUUCACCUCUUUUGUGUUUGAACACAGAGGCAACUUUCAGUGUCUGACUUUCCCCUAGAAUAACAUUUGGUGGUAGUGGAAACUCAACUUUCACCUACUCCACUCUAAAAGCUUCCAAACCACUGGCAGUCCCAACUUUUGUCUUUGAUACAAAGAGAGAGAGGGAGAGAGAAGUUGAUAUGGAAAGUGUCGUUAUUGCCCCCUUCUUCCUGUUUCCAUGGCUCGACUACCCCCUCAGUCAUGCUAAAUCAUUCCUUUUGUUGUUACUUCAGGUGUGUAAGGAAUGCUUGUGUUUUUAUGUGACCUGAAAACUUCGAAAUGAGUAAUUCACCUGUAAUUACGAGCUCCCAUUUCUGUUCCUCGACUCCCUUUAAUGCAGAGAAUUCACAAGUGUAGUUUCCCGUGUGCGAACUCUGGGCUCUCGUUAUGGUUAAUGCAUACAGUUGGUUCUUUAACAUGGACACGUUCAGCUUCAGGCUCUCAGCUUUAGAGGACGUUACACAUCUGACCUUUGAGUCCUUUGAGCUGCUGUUAAAGGUUUCAUCUGGCCUGAUAGUGAACAGAAUAUCCCCAUUCAUUUUCCACGCCAGUUGAGUUAAGUUGCUAAUUGAGUCAUUGCUACAGUUCAGGGUCACUGUGCUCCCAGCUGUCCGUGAGAUCCUGUGUGUUUCUGAUAAAAAAGAAAAUCAUAUUGUAGGUUUCGUUUUUGCUGGAGUGUCGUAAAUAGAAUACUAAAGCAACAGGAAAACAAAACUAUUCCUCAAAAAUGCUGAACACAGCUCAAAAUGUCUAUAAAAAGAAAAUUAAUUGAUUUGUAAAUCAUUAAAACUCUACAUACUCUACAUUUUUAUUAUUCAUUGCUUGCAUACUAUUUUAAUUACUUAUAGAGAUUAAGUAACUUUAACAUAGUCAUGUUUGCAUAUCAAAGUGUAGGGAACAGGGCCAAUUUCCUCCACAAAAAGUGCAUUAAAGUUUAAGUAGCAGUCUUCUGCCGAUUAAAGCUGUCGUAACUGAACUGAAAAUCAAUCAAAAUCAAAAAGCUAAAACUACAACUCGCCCACAUAUUCAGCUUAUCGUUGCUGUUCUGUGGGUCACAUAUUUUCCACAUUUUCAAACUGUUCUCAUAGGCUCUUCACAUUGUCAGAGAGAGCUCAAAUUCAUUUUACCUGCUUGCAAGAAAAUAUAGAAGAAGCAGCAUAUUAGAGUCAAGGUCCAGUUGAUGCCCAAAUAUCUUGAAAACCCUUCCAUGGCAACCAGUAUCGAUUGCCAUAUGCUGUUUGGUCCUUAUCUCAAUAUGACAACAGCUUUAAGGUCACAAAAACAAGAAAAGGCAAUAUCUAAUAGCUAUAGUAAUUAGCAGGUACAGCUUCUAUGGCGGACUUACGUGCAUAGCGUUAAGAUACAGUCUUGCUGGCGUUCUUUCACAAUACCACAGAUACAUUUCC
ensembl:lncRNA